rnacentral:rRNA from 1 species
UACGGAGGGUGCAAGCGUUAAUCGGAAUUACUGGGCGUAAAGCGUGCGCAGGCGGUUUGUUAAGUCUGUUGUGAAAUCCCCGAGCUCAAACUUGGGAAUUGCAAUGGAUACUGGCAGGCUGGAGUAUGGUAGAGGAAGGUGGAAUUCCCGGUGUAGCAGUGAAAUGCGUAGAGAUCGGGAGGAACACCAGUGGCGAAAGCGACUUCCUGGACCAAUACUGACGCUCAUGUGCGAAAAGCGUGGGGAGCAAACAG